UACGUAGGGUGCAAGCGUUGUCCGGAAUUAUUGGGCGUAAAGAGCUCGUAGGCGGUCUGUUGCGUCGGCUGUGAAAACCCGGGGCUCAACUCCGGGCCUGCAGCCGAUACGGGCAGACUAGAGUUCGGCAGGGGAGACUGGAAUUCCUGGUGUAGCGGUGAAAUGCGCAGAUAUCAGGAGGAACACCGGUGGCGAAGGCGGGUCUCUGGACAGUUCCUGACGCUGAGGCACGAAGGUCAGGGGAGCAAACGGG
rnacentral:rRNA from 1 species